rnacentral:rRNA from 1 species
UACGUAGGUGGCAAGCGUUGUCCGGAUUUAUUGGGCGUAAAGCGAGCGCAGGCGGUUUCUUAAGUCUGAUGUGAAAGCCUUCGGCUCAACCGAAGAAGUGCAUUGGAAACUGGGAGACUUGAGUGCAGAAGAGGACAGUGGAACUCCAUGUGUAGCGGUGAAAUGCGUAGAUAUAUGGAAGAACACCAGUGGCGAAGGCGGCUGUCUGGGCCGGAACUGACGCUGAGGCUCGAAAGCAUGGGGAGCAAACAGG